rnacentral:rRNA from 1 species
AGCAGUGAGGAAUAUUGGACAAUGGGUUAGCGCCUGAUCCAGCCAUCCCGCGUGAAGGACGACGGCCCUAUGGGUUGUAAACUUCUUUUGUACAGGGAUAAACCUACCCUCGUGAGGGUAGCUGAAGGUACUGUACGAAUAAGCACCGGCUAACUCCGUGCCAGCAGCCGCGGUAAUACGGAGGGUGCAAGCGUUAUCCGGAUUUAUUGGGUUUAAAGGGUCCGUAGGCGGAUGCGUAAGUCAGUGGUGAAAUCUCACAGCUCAACUGUGAAACUGCCAUUGAUACUGCGUGUCUUGAGUGAGGUUGAAGUAGCUGGAAUAAGUAGUGUAGCGGUGAAAUGCAUAGAUAUUACUUAGAACACCAAUUGCGAAGGCAGGUUACUAAGUCUCAACUGACGCUGAUGGACGAAAGCGUG